rnacentral:piRNA from 1 species
UGACGAGACCACUGAAUAUUUUGGGA